UACGGAGGGGGCUAGCGUUGUCCGAAGUUACUGGGCGUAAAGCGCACGUAGGCGGCUUUGCAAGUUAGAGGUGAAAGCCCGGGGCUCAACUCCGGAAUUGCCUUUAAAACUGCAUCGCUAGAAUUGUGGAGAGGUAAGUGGAAUUCCGAGUGUAGAGGUGAAAUUCAUAGAUAUUCGGAAGAACACCAGUGGCGAAGGCGACUUACUGGACACAUAUUGACGCUGAGGUGCGAAAGCGUGGGGAGCAAACAGG
rnacentral:rRNA from 1 species